rnacentral:piRNA from 1 species
UAGACAUGUCGGGUGAACUAAGGUUACAGU